UACGUAGGGUGCGAGCGUUGUCCGGAAUUAUUGGGCGUAAAGAGCGCGCAGGCGGUCGUUCAAGUCGCGUGUGAAAGCCCCCGGCUCAACUGGGGAGGGUCACGCGAUACUGAUCGACUCGAAGGCAGGAGAGGGUAGUGGAAUUCCCGGUGUAGUGGUGAAAUGCGUAGAUAUUGGGAAGAACACCGAUGGCGAAGGCGGCCAUCUGGACCGACACUGACGCUGAGGCGCGAAAGCGUGGGGAGCAACAGG
rnacentral:rRNA from 1 species